UAAAAGUAAUUAAAUAAUGACGGAAUUUUUAAAACCACACGGUGAUUCUCCUAUAUAUAUAAGGUUAACCUAAAACGAUAAAAGGUCACUCAUGCGCCUCCUUUAGUCUGCCUUUCCUCCUUUCUUCUCUUCUUUCUUUCAUAUUCUUCUUAUUUUGUUGUAGAAAGAUGCUUUCUAAAGCUGAAAGAAGAGAUCAUAGCAAUAUAUGCAAGGAUGUUAUCUCAAUGCCAAAAAAAUCAAGGGAUGCUGAUGCUAAUCAAAUUAACGAUUUCAUCUUUCACAGCAAAAACAUUACAAUGUCAUCAGCACUCUGGAGGAGUUAUAUAACGUACAAACGUUGAAAAUAUAAAAUAUGUUCAGGUUGCUCCUUCCUCAAUUGGUCGGAUGUCUAUGACUUUUAUGUAUUUUUUUAGUAAAAUUUUUCAUGUAUUUUUUUUUUCAUUUAAUGUUUCAUUUAAUAUGUUCAGAAAGAGCAGAUGAUAUUAUUUGAGAUUACAUGCAAAGGUAACUAAAUCAUGUUAAAUGUAUUCUGAU